UCAAGAAGUAGUUUAAGAAAAAUACUAGCAUUGGAAGCUACUGAUCCAGGUUAAUCUGGUUUCUUGAU
rnacentral:tRNA from 1 species